CAGUCGCCCGGUAAUACGAAGGGUGCAAGCGUUACUCGGAAUUACUGGGCGUAAAGCGUGCGCAGGCGGUUUGUUAAGACAGAUGUGAAAUCCCCGGGCUCAACCUGGGAACUGCAUUUGUGACUGGCAGGCUAGAGUAUGGCAGAGGGGGGUGGAAUUCCGCGUGUAGCAGUGAAAUGCGUAGAUAUGCGGAGGAACACCGAUGGCGAAGGCAGCCCCCUGGGCCAAUACUGACGCUCAUGCACGAAAGCGUGGGGAGCAAACAGGAUUAGAUACCCCUGUAGUCCCUGUCUCUUAUACA
rnacentral:rRNA from 1 species